AUAUUGAAUUUACUCCAAAUCAAUGGAGUCUAAGGGUUUGCGUUGUUUUGCGAUCUAUGAACCAUUGAUCCGUAGGGUAUUACUGGAAACGGUAAUGCCUCCCAUUGUGGAAAGGAGAAACUAUAAAAUAAAA
rfam:Acetobacterium wieringae strain DSM 1911 ACWI_contig000033, whole genome shotgun sequence.